CGCCCGUAAUCGCGCUGGGGGUCUUCCUCCUCGUCGUCUCCAUCGCGGGGCUCGUCGGCGCCUGCUGCCGCGUCACCUGGCUGCUCUGGGUCUACCUCCUCGCUAUGUUCGUCCUCAUCGUCGCCCUCUUCUGCUUCACCGUCUUCGCCUUCGUCGUCACCAACCGGGGCGCCGGGGAGGCCGUGUCGGGCCGGGGGUACAAGGAGUACAGGCUUGGGGACUACUCCAACUGGCUGCAGAAGCGGGUGGAGAACCACAAGAACUGGAACAGGAUCAGGAGCUGCCUCCAGGGCUCCAAGGUCUGCAAGAACCUGCAGGACAAGAAGGAGUCGGUCACCGACUUCAUGCGUUCCGACCUCUCCCCGAUCGAGGUACUUGCUUAAUUACGUGAAAAAUGCAUUUUUCUUCCCUUAAUCUUCAGUCUCAGUUUUUUUUUGACAAAUCACCAAGACAGAUUCUAAAACAAACUCUAUCUAUCUGUAGCCGGCGUUUUGUCUUACAGAAAAAGAACACUUCUUUUUCAUUCACGUGUCAUUCAUACUUUAGUGGUCGCGAAUUGCGAUGUGACUUUGGGAGGAUAGUAGUAAUGCCAAAAGACUUUGAAGAAACGGUAGCUUGUGAAACGCAAAACCUUAUCUUAGGCCCGGCUGAUGGUUACUUGUACGGUUGUGCAUCUCGAUCAGACGUACACAAUUUGGAAUUCUGUCUAAAAAUGCAUUGGGCUUAGCGUUGAUAUUGUCAACGGAUUACUCCUAUUUUAUAGUGACAUAUCUUCGGUCCAUAUCAACCUUUACUACCUGCUCUGAAGUCUGAACUGCUCCCGAUGCUCUGACCGCUGCAUUAUUGAAGGAAGAAUUUUCGUUCAUCGCACAUGCUUUCAUUUCAACGCUCUGGUGCACUUGCACUCAACUUUUAGGUCGCGUAACCCAAUCGUUUCACGAAACGGCUCCACCUGAAACUAUCAUAAACAACUGAAACUGUUUUAUUUACUUGUAGUAUUUACCUAAACAACGUCAUGUGAUGUUGAAAGUUCCCAGUCAUGAGUAUUGAGUAGUAGCCCUGCAUAUGUGCUGCUCUGUUUCAAAGGCUCAUCGCUGUUCUUGUUGCUCGUGCAGUCUGGGUGCUGCAAGCCCCCCACCAGCUGCGGCUUCACCUACGUCAGCGGCACGGACUGGACCAAGACCACCGCCACCAACUCGUCGUCGGACCCGGACUGCAACACCUGGAGCAACGAUGCGCUCUGCUACGACUGCCAGUCGUGCAAGGCCGGCGUGGUGGCCACCGUCAAGCGGGACUGGAAGCGCACCGCCAUCGUCUGCAUCGUCUUCCUCGUCUUCAUCAUCAUCGUCUACUCCAUCGGAUGCUGCGCUUUCAGGAAUAACCGCAGGGACAACGCCUACCACGGCGGCUGGAAGGGCGGGUACGCCUGAUCUGGUCGAUCCACCGUCGUUUCGGAGCCUAGCAGACGAGAUCCGCUGCUCGAUUGGUCGAGCGUGCCAGCUCAGUGCUCUGCUCUCGCUGUCCUGCGGUCGCUUUCGUCCUAUAUGUUUAGGCUUCAUCUAGCUCUGUACAGUCGAGAUUGUUACAGCUUCUUAUCGUCUGCUAGUCACUUUGUUAUGAUCUGAUCACUGGUCAGCAGUAGGUUUUGUACAUGCUGUUCGUUGAUUUUGAUAUACUGCUCUAUAUUCG
rnacentral:lncRNA from 1 species